rnacentral:rRNA from 1 species
UACGUAGGUGGCAAGCGUUGUUCGGAAUUAUUGGGCGUAAAGGGCGCGUAGGCUGCGGGGCAAGUCGGGUGUGAAAUCUCAGAGCUCAACUCUGAAACUGCACUCGAUACUGCUUUGCUUGAGGACUGGAGAGGAGAUUGGAAUUCACGGUGUAGCAGUGAAAUGCGUAGAUAUCGUGAGGAAGACCAGUGGCGAAGGCGGAUCUCUGGACAGUUCCUGACGCUGAGGCGCGAAGGCCAGGGGAGCAAACGGG